GACGAACGCUGGCGGCGUGCUUAACACAUGCAAGUCGAACGGUAAGGCCCUUCGGGGUACACGAGUGGCGAACGGGUGAGUAACACGUGGGUGAUCUGCCCUGCACUUCGGGAUAAGCCUGGGAAACUGGGUCUAAUACCGGAUAGGACUCCUGGCUUCAUGGUUGGGGGUGGAAAGCUUUUGCGGUGUGGGAUGGGCCCGCGGCCCAUCAGCUUGUUGGUGGGGUAAUGGCCUACCAAGGCGACGACGGGUAGCCGGGCUGAGAGGGUGACCGGUCACACUGGGACUGAGAUACGGCCCAGACUCCUACGGGAGGCAGCAGUGGGGAAUAUUGCACAAUGGGCGCAAGCCUGAUGCAGCGACGCCGCGUGAGGGAUGACGGCCUUCGGGUUGUAAACCUCUUUCAGCUAUGACGAAGCGCAAGUGACGGUAGUAGCAGAAGAAGGACCGGCCAACUACGUGCCAGCCGCCGCAGUAA
rnacentral:rRNA from 1 species